AGGUGGGUAGAUGUCUUAUCCUCAUCGGUGUCAGAUCUGGUGGCAUCACCCUGCACCCAGGCAAUACACAGGACAGACAGCGGAGGCUGUACCUGAAACACAGUGACGAUGGCCCACAGUAGAGAGUCGAAGUUCUUCCUGUCAGGGACGGUGUCUCCAGAGUCUGUCUUCAGGCUGAACUUACAGCCAAACAGGUGCAUGCCCAGGAUGCUGAGGGGGAUGGGCACUGAGUGGGAGGGGCCCAGACCCCCCUCUGCCAGCCCCCUCACCUCCCACACCCUGUGUCUGCUGUCAGGGCCAAUCCUGAGGCUCAACCAUUUUUCUACAGCUGAGAAGGUCUUAACCUUCAUAAAGGGGUGGACGGAGGCCACCAUUCUGCCUUUGGACAAUGACAAGGACAACCAGUCUUAGCAUCCUGUGGGAUGCUCACUCUUCCACACCCUCCCUAAGUGUCAAGACUGGCUGGCGCACAAAAGGUGCUAAGCAAAACCCACUAAAAGCCUGGUAGCAUCCCCAGGGCUCGACCUAUGCAUCUGUGGGCCUCAGAACGGAGCCGCUCCGCCCACCAUGCCUGGUGCUGUCUGAGGGAGGAGCUUGGGCCCCACCCACCUGAAGAUGAAGAUGAAGAGCAUUAGCAGCAUGCAGAAGGUGGCCACAUUGUCCAUGGUCCUCAUGAGCACCACCAGCUGCCGCCGCAGGGCUGGCAGGAAGCGCACCAGCUUCAGCACCCGCAGCAGCCGGAACGAUGGCCAGUCUGGGAGCCACCACAGCCUCUGUUCAACACCAUAGCUGGGAGCAAGUUCAGCAAGUAGCCCCAUCAGCUGUGGCUCCUGAAUCUCGGGGAAGCCCUGGCUCCCAGCUGUCAGGGAGCUCACUGACAGAGUCUGCUACCCAGGGUCUUCCACGCCUGGCUCAUCUGUACGUUCAAACCAUCCCUUCCAGGUGACUGACACUCUGUGCUGGGGCCUGCCUCAUGAUGAGCUAUGGAGGUGUCUGCACAUGAACAGUACCUGCAGUCUCACCCACCCCUUCCUUUGAAGAAGGCCCAGCAGGUCUCUUACCAUGAGUGUGCUAACCCUCCUGCACGUGUAGGCGUAUGUGCAUGUAUGUUUGUCUAUACCUGUAAUAUUAUGACCUGCAUGUGUGAAUACACACGCAUACCUGUAAUGCUGGAGAGGUUUGGGUGUGUGUUCUCUAGCACAAUUUGAGCACAAACAUGAAUGUACGGGUGGUCACCUGA